UACGUAGGGUGCGUGCGUUAAUCGGAGUUACUGGGCGUAAAGCGUGCGUAGACGGUUAUGUAAGUCGGGUGUGAAAGCCCCGGGCUCAACCUGGGAAUUGCAUUCGAGACUGUGUAGCUAGGGUGCGGAAGAGGGAAGCGGAAUUUCAGGUGUAGCGGUGAAAUGCGUAGAUAUCUGAAGGAACACCAGUGGCGGAAGCGGCUUCCUGGUCCAGCACCGACGUUCAGGCACGAAAGCGUGGGGAG
rnacentral:rRNA from 1 species